UACGGAGGGUGCAAGCGUUGCUCGGAAUUAUUGGGCGUAAAGGGUAGGUAGGUGGUCUCAUUUGUCUGAGGUGAAAGCCUUGAGCUUAACUCAAGAAGUGCCUCGGAAACGGUGAGACUGGAGUCCUGGAGAGGGUCGUGGAAUUCCCGGUGUAGCGGUGAAAUGCGUAGAGAUCGGGAGGAACACCAGUGGCGAAGGCGGCUCACUGGACCGGAACUGACGCUGAGGCGCGAAAGCGUGGGGAGCAAACAGG
rnacentral:rRNA from 1 species